AAGAGACAGCAGCAGCCGCGGGAAUACGAAGGGUGCAAGCGUUAAUCGGAAUUACUGGGCGUAAAGCGCGCGUAGGUGGUUCAUUAAGUUGGAUGUGAAAGCCCUGGGCUCAACCUGGGAACUGCAUCCAAAACUGGUGAGCUAGAGUACGGUAGAGGGUAGUGGAAUUUCCGGUGUAGCAGUGAAAUGCGUAGAGAUCGGAAGGAACAUCUGUGGCGAAGGCGACUAUCUGGGCCAACACUGACACUGAGGCACGAAAGCGUGGGGAGCAAACAGGAUUAGAUACCCGCGUAGUCCCUGUAUCUUAUAC
rnacentral:rRNA from 1 species